UCUCUUUUCUUUGUGAAGUGACAGUCUUUAUCAAGAUGGUGGGGAAGCUGAAGCAGAACUUGCUGCUGGCGUGCCUGGUGAUCAGCUCGGUGACCGUGUUCUACCUGGGCCAGCACGCCAUGGAGUGCCACCAUCGCAUAGAGGAGCGCAGCCAGCCCCUCCGGGUGGAGAGCCUGAGGAGCACGGUUAGAACUGCUUCCCAUGGGAACACCAACAAAACCUUUGCUUACAACAAAGACAUGCCUUUAAUAUUUAUUGGAGGAGUACCUCGGAGCGGCACCACCCUGAUGCGGGCCAUGCUGGAUGCACACCCGGAUAUCCGGUGCGGAGAGGAGACACGGGUCAUCCCACGGAUUCUGGCAGUGAAGCAGAUGUGGGCUAGAUCAAGCAAGGAGAAGAUCCGACUGGAUGAAGCUGGAGUCACAGAUGAGGUUUUGGACUCAGCCAUGCAAGCAUUUUUAUUGGAAAUAAUUGUGAAACACGGAGAGCCUGCUCCCUAUUUGUGUAACAAAGAUCCUUUUGCUCUAAAAUCCUUAACUUAUCUUGCUAGAAUUUUCCCCAAUGCCAAAUUCCUGCUAAUGGUCCGGGAUGGUCGUGCCUCUGUGCAUUCCAUGAUCUCUAGGAAGGUCACAAUAGCUGGGUUUGACCUUAACAGCUACAGGGACUGCCUGACCAAGUGGAAUCGUGCCAUAGAGACCAUGUAUAACCAGUGUAUGGAGGUUGGCUUUGAAAGGUGCAUGCUGGUACACUAUGAACAACUGGUGCUGCACCCUGAAAGGUGGAUGAGAACUCUCUUAAAGUUUCUUCGCAUCCCGUGGAACCAAGCAGUGCUGCACCAUGAAGAAAUGAUUGGAAAAGCAGGGGGUGUUUCCCUUUCAAAAGUUGAAAGAUCUACUGACCAAGUAAUCAAGCCAGUCAAUGUGGAAGCAUUGUCAAAGUGGGUUGGGAAGAUACCUGCUGAUGUCCUGCAAGAUAUGCCAGUGAUUGCACCCAUGCUGGCUAAACUGGGCUAUGAUCCCUAUGCCAACCCACCAAACUAUGGGAAGCCAGAUCAAAAAGUUGUGGAAAACACAAGGAGGGUCUAUAAAGGUGAAUUUCAGCUUCCUGACUUUCUUAAAGAAGUGCCACAGCCAAAGAAGACAGUAGAAAGGAGGUCCCGUGGCAAGAUAAAAUGAACACGGAUCAGUAAAGUCGAAUUAGCUGCAGUGUCUGUUUCGUGUUUUCAGAAUAUAACUCUUUGCUGUGGACACCACAUCUUUCUGGCCAGUCUGUGUGACCUCUGCCGUGGGCUUUGCUGUCACUGCUGCCUGUGCUCCCCUCCCAGCACCCCGUGCCCGUGCUUGGCAGGCUGUGCUCAGCUCCCAGGGCACCCCGGCAGCUCCUGCUGCUGCUCACACCCUCCCGCCCUGCCCAGAGCCUCUCUGCAGCUUCCUGGCAAGGCAGCUCUUUGCAAUGGCUGCUGCUUAAAAGUUACUGUCAGCAAACUGUGUUGAGAAAGUGUGCUGUGGUUCUUUCUAAUGCUUCCAAAGGCAAUCGCUGUGGUUAUCUCAAGAUUAUCUACAACCUUACAGAUAAAGGGGCAGCACAAAUGGCUGCAGCCUGGGGUGUGUCAACACCACUGCUGAGGAUUCCUGGAAGAGGCAGGGAGAUGAGCUACCUUUAACAUUUAGCAGACUGUAGAGAUGGCGUGCUAGCAAAAUAAGUAAUCCUUGGUCUGCCCACAGAACCCAUUAGUUAAAUGAUGCUGGUUGUUUUUUCCAGUUAUCUUGUGACACAUCAAAAGAACUCAGUCCACUCUUUCCAGCAAAUGUCCCCGUGAUAGGGAGGUUCCAAAAUGGGACUCUGCUGAAUUUCAGGAAGUGGAUUUAUACAGCUACCUUGACUGAACCUAUGGAAUAGAAGAUAAAACGGAUAUUUCUUGCACAGAAGGAAAAAGACUUCUGCCUUUUCCAUGGAAAUGCUCUUACAAGGACAGACCCACUGAGCUCAGUGAGGGGCCAGUGCUCCUGGCCUGCUUUUUUCAGAAUUUUUUCCUCAGUUUCUUUCAUACUGUUUUUGUUCAAAAUUUUGUUGUUGUGAGCAUGUAAACGUUAAAAGAAAAAACCAACCACAAAACGAACUGAUGUUCCUGUAGAACUGUAUUACAUUUGCACAACUAUUUUUUUAAGGUUUAAAAAACAAAACAACAAAGUAAUGCCUGUCUCUGUAAUUGUUCUUCUCUUUUAAUUCCAAAACCCCCAUCUUCAAAGACUUUUUUUCCUGUAGCAGUUGGGUUUUAAAUGUACAAAGCUUUCAAGAGUGGUCUGUGCUUGUCCUAGAAGACUUUUGGUGGAGGAGUUUUAUUCAUAUGUGGAAAUUGUUAAAUGUCUUUUAUUUAAAAAAAAAAAAUGCACAUGUACAAUGACAAUUCAAUGAUCUUUUGUAUUUUAUUUUUCAAAAUAAAUGCUUUAAAUGUGA